rnacentral:rRNA from 1 species
GAUGAAUGCUGGCGGCGUGCCUAAUACAUGCAAGUCGAGCGAACAGACGAGGAGCUUGCUCCUCUAACGUUAGCGGCGGACGGGUGAGUAACACGUGGAUAACCUACCUAUAAGACUGGGAUAACUUCGGGAAACCGGAGCUAAUACCGGAUAAUAUAUUGAACCGCAUGGUUCAAUAGUGAAAGACGGUUUUGCUGUCACUUAUAGAUGGAUCCGCGCCGCAUUAGCUAGUUGGUAAGGUAACAGCUUACCAAGGCAACGAUGCGUAGCCGACCUGAGAGGGUGAUCGGCCACACUGGAACUGAGACACGGUCCAGACUCCUACGGGAGGCAGCAGUAGGGAAUCUUCCGCAAUGGGCGAAAGCCUGACGGAGCAACGCCGCGUGAGUGAUGAAGGUCUUCGGAUCGUAAAACUCUGUUAUUAGGGAAGAACAAAUGUGUAAGUAACUAUGCACGUCUUGACGGUACCUAAUCAGAAAGCCACGGCUAACUACGUG